rnacentral:rRNA from 1 species
GAUGAACGCUGGCGGCGUGCCUAAUACAUGCAAGUCGAGCGAACGGACGAGAAGCUUGCUUCUCUGAUGUUAGCGGCGGACGGGUGAGUAACACGUGGAUAACCUACCUAUAAGACUGGGAUAACUUCGGGAAACCGGAGCUAAUACCGGAUAAUAUUUUGAACCGCAUGGUUCAAAAGUGAAAGACGGUCUUGCUGUCACUUAUAGAUGGAUCCGCGCUGCAUUAGCUAGUUGGUAAGGUAACGGCUUACCAAGGCAACGAUGCAUAGCCGACCUGAGAGGGUGAUCGGCCACACUGGAACUGAGACACGGUCCAGACUCCUACGGGAGGCAGCAGUAGGGAAUCUUCCGCAAUGGGCGAAAGCCUGACGGAGCAACGCCGCGUGAGUGAUGAAGGUCUUCGGAUCGUAAAACUCUGUUAUUAGGGAAGAACAUAUGUGUAAGUAACUGUGCACAUCUUGACGGUACCUAAUCAGAAAGCCACGGCUAACUACGUGCCAGCAGCCGCGGUAAUACGUAGGUGGCAAGCGUUAUCCGGAAUUAUUGGGCGUAAAGCGCGCGUAGGCGGUUUUUUAAGUCUGAUGUGAAAGCCCACGGCUCAACCGUGGAGGGUCAUUGGAAACUGGAAAACUUGAGUGCAGAAGAGGAAAGUGGAAUUCCAUGUGUAGCGGUGAAAUGCGCAGAGAUAUGGAGGAACACCAAUGGCGAAGGCGACUUUCUGGUCUGUAACUGACGCUGAUGUGCGAAAGCGUGGGGAUCAAACAGGAUUAGAUACCCUGGUAGUCCACGCCGUAAACGAUGAGUGCUAAGUGUUAGGGGGUUUCCGCCCCUUAGUGCUGCAGCUAACGCAUUAAGCACUCCGCCUGGGGAGUACGACCGCAAGGUUGAAACUCAAAGGAAUUGACGGGGACCCGCACAAGCGGUGGAGCAUGUGGUUUAAUUCGAAGCAACGCGAAGAACCUUACCAAAUCUUGACAUCCUUUGACAACUCUAGAGAUAGAGCCUUCCCCUUCGGGGGACAAAGUGACAGGUGGUGCAUGGUUGUCGUCAGCUCGUGUCGUGAGAUGUUGGGUUAAGUCCCGCAACGAGCGCAACCCUUAAGCUUAGUUGCCAUCAUUAAGUUGGGCACUCUAAGUUGACUGCCGGUGACAAACCGGAGGAAGGUGGGGAUGACGUCAAAUCAUCAUGCCCCUUAUGAUUUGGGCUACACACGUGCUACAAUGGACAAUACAAAGGGCAGCGAAACCGCGAGGUCAAGCAAAUCCCAUAAAGUUGUUCUCAGUUCGGAUUGUAGUCUGCAACUCGACUACAUGAAGCUGGAAUCGCUAGUAAUCGUAGAUCAGCAUGCUACGGUGAAUACGUUCCCGGGUCU